rnacentral:rRNA from 1 species
AUUGAACGCUGGCGCCAUGCCUUACACAUGCAAGUCGAACGGUAACAGGCCUUCGGGCGCUGACGAGUGGCGAACGGGUGAGUAAUGCAUCGGAACGUGCCCAGUCGUGGGGGAUAACUAUCCGAAAGGAUAGCUAAUACCGCAUACGAUCUGCGGAUGAAAGCGGGGGACCUUCGGGCCUCGCGCGAUUGGAGCGGCCGAUGUCAGAUUAGGUAGGUGGUGGGGUAAAGGCUCACCAAGCCAACGAUCUGUAGCUGGUCCGAGAGGACGACCAGCCACACUGGGACUGAGACACGGCCCAGACUCCUACGGGAGGCAGCAGUGGGGAAUUUUGGACAAUGGGCGCAAGCCUGAUCCAGCAAUGCCGCGUGCAGGAAGAAGGCCUUCGGGUUGUAAACUGCUUUUGUACGGAACGAAACGGCUCUGGUUAAUACCCGGGGCUAAUGACGGUACCGUAAGAAUAAGCACCGGCUAACUACGUGCCAGCAGCCGCCGUAACAC